rnacentral:rRNA from 1 species
GUAACAAGGUCUCCGUUGGUGAACCAGCGGAGGGAUCAUUACCGAGUUAUACAACUCCCAAACCCGUGUGAACCUCUACCUCAACGUUGCCUCGGCGGGAUUCGCCCCGGCGGCGCCCUGGCGGCAAACGUCAGGCGCUCCGGAUACCAUGGCGCCCGCCGCAGGACCCCCCCAAAACUCUCUUUGCAUCUCCGGUGGCAUUUCUCUUCUGAGUAAACGAUUACUCCCGCGAGAGCGGGAGGGAAUGAAUCAAAACUUUCAACAACGGAUCUCUUGGCUCUGGCAUCGAUGAAGAACGCAGCGAAAUGCGAUAAGUAAUGUGAAUUGCAGAAUUCAGUGAAUCAUCGAAUCUUUGAACGCACAUUGCGCCCGCCAGUAUUCUGGCGGGCAUGCCUGUCCGAGCGUCAUUUCGACCCUCAGGCUGGGGAAAAAAAAGAACCACUUUUACAGCGGUUCCCUCCCCGUCGAGCCUGGUGUUGGGGGACGGCAGCGGCUUUCUAACGCCCCGCCGCCCCCGAAAUGCAGUGGCGGCCACGUCGCAGCGACCUCCGCGUAGUAGCACAAGAAACCUCGCGGCCUGGGAAGCUCGGCGCGGCCACGCCGUAAAACAACCCACAGCGUUAACUCGCACCAAGAGUGACCUCGGAUCAGGUAGGAAUACCCGCUGAACUUAA